rnacentral:rRNA from 1 species
ACGAACGCUGGCGGCGUGCCUAACACCUGCAAGUCGAACGAGAAAGGGGCUUCGGCUCCGAGUAAAGUGGCGCACGGGUGAGUAACACGUGGGUAACCUGCCUCUAAGAUUGGGAUAACUCGUCGAAAGAUGAGCUAAUACCGAAUAAGACCACAGUUCCCGCGGGAACAGGGGUCAAAGGUAGCCUCUGCUUGCAAGCUAUCACUUAGAGAUGGGCCUGCGCACCAUUAGCUAGUUGGUAGGGUAACGGCCUACCAAGGCAAAGAUGGUUAGCUGGUCUGAGAGGAUGAUCAGCCACACUGGAACUGAGACACGGUCCAGACUCCUACGGGAGGCAGCAGUGGGGAAUAUUGCGCAAUGGGCGAAAGCUUGACGCAGCAACGCCGCGUGAGUGAUGAAGGCCUUCGGGUCGUAAAGCUCUGUCGGGAGGAACGAAUGCUCCUGAGGUUAACAGCCUCGGGAGGUGACGGUACCUUCAAAGGAAGCACCGGCUAACUCUGUG